GGCCAAGGAUUUUCACAGCACCGUAAAGAAGGAGAAGCUCACUUUCGUCUAAUUUCUCUGCAGCAGCGCUGGCUACUGAGCAAGUCCCCUCGCCCUGCUCCAGAGCUUGUCAACAAGCCCCUCUCCACCCUGUCCUCACUGGCUUCCUGGACUCGGGGCCAUUCUUCCUCCAUUUGUCUAUCAAACUCUACUAAGCCCAGCAGGUCCCUCAGGGCUGAUCUUGGGGGAAGGAAACAUGAGGUGGUGCUGCUCCGGUGUGCGGGAGGAAAAACUGAACACAUUUAAAGGUUUGAGAACUUUACCCUGUAGUUCAUCGAAAACAAGUGCUUUCAUUUUUAGAGUUCUUUAGUAAGUGUUCUGAUUGUUUUCCCUGAAUCCUAAAUUUCUUAUUUACUUAGCUCAAUUUUAUUUAGGUUUUCAAAUGUAUGUGGAACUCUAUCUCUGAAGGACAAACAAUAUGCAAGAGACACUUACUGCAAUUUUUCUUUAAAAUGAAGAGAAAUUAUAAAGUGCGCUGAGAUUCGUUAUUUGCCAAAAUAUCUAAAAAUUUGGGGCAGGGGUACCAUUUUGGAUGCAGUUACCACUGACAAAGUAUCAGCUCAGACUGCUUUCGCAUUAGAGUGUGUGAAACUAAAAUAUUUACCUCUGAAGUCCCCAAAAGGCCAAAGGAAUAUGUUACAAACAACUUGACAAGGAUGUUUCAGUGGCCCUGGAGUGUGGAACAAGAGUGAAAAGUAGAAAUUUCGAUGCAAGGCUCUAAAUCAGAUAAAAGUGGAAGAUUGUGGAUGUACUAGUCUUCCUUUUCCUAACAAAUUUCUUCUAAACGUUCUCACUGCUCAGUAAUCUCUUCCCUUCUCCCACCUUUGUCAACAUCUGCCUUACCUGUCCAGAGGCUCUAGCUCCUUCUAACAAGUACGGACUGCAAUCUCAGGUCAUCAAGGUAGGGUGGAGUUUUGUAGGAAAGGAAACUGAGGCUGUGACAGAAAGCUCUUACAUGUAUAUUCCCCUAAUGAGAUCCAGUGACUUUUGAAUCUGAUUGUCUGAAUUUUCAAAUAAUGAUGCUAGAUAUUUGUUGAGUAUAUUAAUCUUUUAAAUAAAUCUUAAUCUUAAUUAUCCAAA